rnacentral:lncRNA from 10 species
GACCACGUGGAGAUGCAGGGAGAGGAUAGCAGCUACAGGCCAGGGCGAGAGGCCUCAGAGGAAACCAGUCCUGCUGACUCUUUGAACUCGGACUUCCAGCCUCCAGAACGGAACCACUGUCUUCCUUUAUCCCAGGAUGUCUGCAAGGAAGAAAAUGUCCUUUUUCUAGCAUUUAGAGGCCACCAACAUUGAAUAACCACACUGGGGUAGACACAGCGGCGAAGAGAUUCCUGCUGUUCCCAUCACAGCAGCCUUGGAGAUGAGAAGACAGAUGGAUCUGACCAGGAGUCUGGAGAACUUCGAGAAAAAAGGAGGAGGACACAAAAGGAAAUAACAAAAAAGAUGCAUCCGGAGCAACUAUGAGGAUGGUAAAUUGGUGUCUAAUUCUGAAAAUCAUAAUUGGUAUAAAUGCUAUGUACUGUGGAAGGAGGGAUGAAGGGUAGAGGGAAUAAAAAAGAACAUGAAGUUAGAAUCCUUGGCAUGAAAGCCUGCCAUUUAUACAAGCAAACAAACAAGAUCAGGGACUAUCAACUGGCUGGCUGAAUUGGACCAAUAGGCAGGUUUAUUCAGCCCCACACUUCAAAAAUUAGGAGAUCUCCAAAUUAAAAUCUGGGAAUCUGACCUUUUGUAACAAAUCAGAGGAUUUGCAACACCAAGAGCAUCAUCACAGGCAACGACCAGCUUGGAUGGGCAGCGGCUGCCCCUGCAGGUGGGUCAGGUGCUCUUCCGUUGGACACAGUCUCCACCACUCCCUGUCGCUUGCUCCUUGCUCCCCAUCAGCAUAACUGUUUGGGCCUUAUAGCAUAUGCAUUUAUCACUCCCUACUAGGACGUCCACAACAUGAAAUGAGAGAACGAUUUGGUAAGUUCAACAAAAGGCAUAUUAUGCAGCCACCAUACAUUCUUUGUGGAAAGAGAAGUGGCAUA